GACGAACCGUGCGAACGUUGUUCGGAAUUACUGGGCGUAAAGCGCACGUAGGCGGCUUUGCAAGUUAGAGGUGAAAGCCCGGGGCUCAACUCCGGAAUUGCCUUUAAAACUGCAUCGCUAGAAUUGUGGAGAGGUAAGUGGAAUUCCGAGUGUAGAGGUGAAAUUCGUAGAUAUUCGGAAGAACACCAGUGGCGAAGGCGACUUACUGGACACAUAUUGACGCUGAGGUGCGAAAGCGUGGGGAGCAAACAGG
rnacentral:rRNA from 1 species